rnacentral:pre_miRNA from 1 species
UGGACAGAUUAUUGUAUUCAACUGUAUUCACGGCAAGAAAUAGAGGAUUACACUGUUUUUAAAACGGAAAGUGAAUCAAUUAACAUAAUAGAUUCCU